rnacentral:snRNA from 1 species
AUCACUUCUUGGCCUUUUCGCUUAGGUUAACUGUAAUAUUUGCUUUUGUCAGUUUAAUAUCCGAUACAUCCUCUAGCCAAAGACAAUAUAUUAAAUAGAUUUUUGGAGCAGGGAGUGAGAAUAUUCACCCCAUAUAUUGACCUGAUAUUGCAGAAAUAAAAAAAUAUUAUAUGCAUG